AGCUGUGAAGUUUGACUCAGUUUACCCCUUUCUUCAUCCUGGUUGGUUCCAGCUUUAAAUAAAGCUUUUCACCUGAACUUGCUCUUUAAGAGCCCUGGAUUCAGAACAGGGGAGAAUAGUGAGCCUGUGCAUGUGAAUUUGUUUACGGGUUGCAAAGACUUGGACACGACUUAGCCACUGAACAACAACAACAACGUCUUCCAGAAGGGCUCUGAAGCUCAUGUUAAAUUGGUGGGCCUGAGAAACUAUGCCUUACUUGGGAAUAUGUUCCCUUUGCCUCCGACCUCCACUUCAGUCCUAACUAAUUGAAUAUUCCCUUAACUCAUGUUGGGCAGAGAUCACAUUGUGGAAGACUUUGAAAGCCAGACUAUGCAUUCUGAAGAAGGCAGCAAGAUGAUGAGAGCUCUGCUUUAAGAUUAAUCGGCAUUAGUAUAAAACAGACUUGCAAGAGAAAAGUGAGGAGAAAGAUCGGUUAGAGGUCUAUUGUUUCAGUUAGAAAUAAUGAAAGUCUGAACUAAAGUCAUGUGCAGGAGAGAAAAGGAUAAAAAGAUGGUAACUGAAGAAGCAGAAUCUAUGGAAUUUUAUGGCUGAUUGGAUCCGAGGAGCAAAGGAAUUCCACAUGUUCUAGAAGACUCCAAGGCUUCUGUUAGGAAACUGGUGGUGCCGUUACGAAGAUGUCCCACACGGGGCUCUGAACUCAUCUUCUCACACCAACAACUGUUUUGUCAUCUGUCUUCAAUUGUUCACUUUCAUUUAAGCCUAUUCAAGAGUCUC